AAGAUUUUAAGUUAUAAAAACUAUAAACCUUCAAAGUUUAAAAUAAGAUACAUCAAAUCUUAAAUCUUG
rnacentral:tRNA from 1 species